rnacentral:rRNA from 1 species
UACAGAGGGCGCGAGCGUUGUCCGGAAUCACUGGGCGUAAAGCGCACGUAGGCGGCUUUCUAAGUCAGGGGUGAAAUCCUGGAGCUCAACUCCAGAACUGCCUUUGAUACUGGAGAGCUUGAGUCCGGGAGAGGUGAGUGGAACUCCGAGUGUAGAGGUGAAAUUCGUAGAUAUUCGGAAGAACACCAGUGGCGAAGGCGGCUCACUGGCCCGGUACUGACGCUGAGGUGCGAAAGCGUGGGGAGCAAACAGGG